AACGAACGCUGGCGGCAGGCCUAACACAUGCAAGUCGAGCGCCCUUUCGGGGGAGCGGCGGACGGGUGCGUACCGCGUGGGAAUAUGCCCUUCUCUACGGAAUAGCCUCGGGAAACUGAGAGUAAUACCGUAUACGCCCUGUGGGGGAAAGAUUUAUCGGGGAAGGAUUAGCCCGCGUUGGAUUAGGUAGUUGGUGGGGUAAUGGCCUACCAAGCCGACGAUCCAUAGCUGGUUUGAGAGGAUGAUCAGCCACACUGGGACUGAGACACGGCCCAGACUCCUACGGGAGGCAGCAGUGGGGAAUCUUAGACAAUGGGGGCAACCCUGAUCGAGCCAUGCCGCGUGAGUGAUGAAGGCCUUAGGGUUGUAAAGCUCUUUCAGCUGGGAAGAUAAUGACGGUACCAGCAGAAGAAGCCCCGGCUAACUCCGUG
rnacentral:rRNA from 1 species